AAAAUUAGCAAAAGAUCUGAACAGACAUGCCUCCAAAGAAGCUAUAUGAAUGGCCAAAAAACACUUGAAAAG